AAGCAUAACAAAGGGAAAAAUGGCAAUACUGGAGAGCUCCUUUAUUUUUAAAGGGCUCGACGAAACAACUUAUUGCAAAGUUAUAUCUAUUUCUACACUCUGUUUCCCUUAAGGUGAAUCACUGCCAUUUAUUUAAUUUUGGGGCUUUAAUUAAAAAAAGGGCACCGCCUCUCUGUGUCGCCUGUGGGCUCCAGUGACCGCUGUCCUGUUUUUUUUGCAGGAUUAACCUUUGGAAAAAAAAGGGAAUGUCCUCUUCGCCUAAUGUCCCGUCUAGGGGCCGGCAAUGUUCUCUGCAGAUCUAGUUGCCUCGAGUUCACUGGAAAUGAGAGAAUCAGGAUAAGGUCCCAAAGGAAACAAGCGCUACCCAAAGCCAGGCCCUGACUCAGACACUGAAGAUGGGUGAAGUGUAUCACUGCAAUUCAUUACUUAUAGGACCCUGACAGUGUCUGUGAACGAGUGACUGCGUGAUGAAGUUUACAGAUGACUUACAACAGAUGAAACGGUAGAGUAGAAGAUAGGAGCAGUGGUGGGGAAUAAAUACUUGGAGAGGAUUUUAAUCUCCCCAUCCUCGUUACCUCUGCGCAGGCUGACAUUACAUCCCAGCAGGAUAUAGUCACUUGGAAGUCUCUUCACCACCUGACACUCCCCGCAAAAGUGUAGCUACUUAGCUUUCCUCUGAGUCCUUCCCUCUGCCCAACAUCUUCAUCUCUUCUGGAACCACUCUUGAACCCAAACUCCAAGCACAGAUUCUCGGAACUUUCUUUGCCUCUGUCCUGCUCCUCAGUGACCUGGUCACUAAAACUCGGAUCACUGAGAGUUGCUCUCUGUUCUUUGUACACAAGGAGGUUAUUGGAUGAAAUGAACGACACCAUGUGAAUAUAAAACUACUAUUGCAACAUUUCAGUGGGACCCUAUAAUAAAGUGGUACUCACUGUCUGACAAUAAUUAUAAUAAUAGUGGUAUUUGAUAUGCACUUGCUAUGUGCCAGGCACUGAGGUAGAUAACAAUGCAAUCAGAUUAGACACUGUCCCUAUCUCACAUAGGGCUCACAGUCUAAGAGGGAGGGAGAACAGGUAUUUCAUCCCCAUUUUACAGAGGAGGGAACUGAGGUGCAGGAAAGUUAAGUCACUUGCUCAAGGUCACCCAGCAGGCAAGCCAAUAGAUUGAUCUACUGUGUCUAGCGUGGAAGGACCAUUAUAUGGACAAGGAUGGUUAAACCGAGGUCCCUUUACUUGGUUGCUAGGUUUCUCAGUCCCCUGGGACUGGAGAGUGGAAAUUCAGGGGUCUAACUCGGUCCUAUACUAUAAUGAGUUCUGAAUUCCUGUCGAGUGUGAUCUAAUGGGGCCCCCACCAAGCUGCCUAGAGAGAAAAAUGGGUGCC
rnacentral:lncRNA from 1 species